ACUGGGCGUGGUGACUCAUGCCUGUAAUCCCAGCACUUUGGGAGUCUGAGGCGGGAGGAUUGCUUGAGCCCAGGAGUUCGAGAUCAGCCUGGGCAACAUAGCAAGACCCAGCCUCUA
rnacentral:SRP_RNA from 1 species